GGGGGAUAGCUCGGCGAAAGCCGGAUUAAUACCGCAUACGCCCUGAGGGGGAAAGUGGGGGACCGCAAGGCCUCACGUUAUACGAGCAGCCGAUGUCUGAUUAGCUAGUUGGUGAGGUAAGAGCUCACCAAGGCGUCGAUCAGUAGCGGGUCUGAGAGGAUGAUCCGCCACACUGGGACUGAGACACGGCCCAGACUCCUACGGGAGGCAGCAGUGGGGAAUUUUGGACAAUGGGCGCAAGCCUGAUCCAGCCAUGCCGCGUGUCUGAAGAAGGCCUUCGGGUUGUAAAGGACUUUUGUCCGGGAGCAAAUCCUAGUGGUUAAUAACCGCUGGGUCUGAGAGUACCGGAAGAAUAAGCACCGGCUAACUACGUGCCAGCAGCCGCGGUAAUACGUAGGGUGCAAGCGUUAAUCGGAAUUACUGGGCGUAAAGCGUGCGCAGGCGGUUGUGCAAGUCUGAUGUGAAAGCCCCGGGCUUAACCUGGGAACGGCAUUGGAGACUGCACGACUAGAGUGCGUCAGAGGGGGGUAGAAUUCCGCGUGUAGCAGUGAAAUGCGUAGAGAUGCGGAGGAAUACCGAUGGCGAAGGCAGCCCCCUGGGAUGACACUGACGCUCAUGCACGAAAGCGUGGGGAGCAAACGGGAUUAGAUACCCUGGUAGUCCACGCCCUAAACGAUGUCAACUAGCUGUUGGGG
rnacentral:rRNA from 1 species